AGGCGGUUAGCUCAGUUGGUUAGAGCGCCACGUUGACAUCGUGGAGGUCGUUGGUUCGAUUCCAAUACCGCCUACCA
rnacentral:tRNA from 17 species